CUUUCUCCCCGCCGCAUUCCCGGUGUCGACUUACUAGCUGCAAGCCUCUGCCUGCCUUCCUGCGCGCCGUUCCCCGCUAGUCGCUGCUGCUGGCGCGCACUCGCCGGGUUUUUCCUCCCACGGCCUCGAGAUGGUGGUGAAUGUGGCACGGAGGAGCCGGGCCUUCCAACCCGGUGGGCCCGAGCUCCGAAAGGCCCCCUCGGCAGUGAGAGGGGCGGGAGCCCGCGGGGGCCGCGCCCUUCUCUCGCUUCGGACUGCGCAACGCUGCGCUCUGGGCUGACAGGCGGAUAAAACGGUCCCAUCAAGACUGAGAAAAAGCACACCAGCUAUUGGCACAGCGUGGGCAGUGGGGCCUACAGGAUGACUGACUUAGUCUACAGAGAUCCCGGCGUACUUAAGCAGGUAGUAAUGAUGGACAGGUGAGGCUUUAGGCGGCCGCCCUGGGAUCUGAAUUGCCCCUUGGCCCUUAUCGAAGCUGCAGCUGCUUCCGCAUAGCUGCUGUGGUCAAAAAGGAGCCCAGAGUGACAGUUUUCCUUGACGGUCGCCGUUCUGUUUGUUGUAACUGAUCUGCAACAUUUUGGGAAAAUACAGUUCCAUUGUACCUGCCACCUUUCAGCUGUAGCCAGAGACCUUUAUCAAAAUGGGCUUGUUUCCACAGAACAGCAGAACGGUUGGGGGUUUGCAUGUACAGUUAACCAGCAUAAGACUCGUACUGGGAAAAUCCAGCUGGGAUGUGACACAGCUUAACUGAUAGCUUAAGGCAUCAGUAUUGGGACCAAAGGCUGGUCAGAUUUGUAUCAUUCUGAGGACCAAAUGAUGGGAACAAUAAAAUUGUUCAUGACAGUUGUUCUCAUUUUGCUGUCCAGAUGAAGACUCUUAAGAUGACAGAAGGUGAUUUUUCUGGUGAUCGAGGACUUCCGGGGUAAUGACAGUGAUGAAAUGCAGGGGACCUGGUUGCCCCCAAGUUUCCUGGCAGUGUGUGAUACUGAGGAGGUGAGCUUGUUUCUGGAGCUGUGCUUUAAGAUUCAUGUUACAUGUAAAGCUGUCCUCAUUUGUGACUAUGGACCUAUGGAGUUGGGACAAUCUCUAUGGGAAGCAGAAGGCAAGGACCCCGGUCAUUUUAGGUAGAAACAACAGCAUGCUAAUGCAAAAAAUUAUGCAGUGUGCUACUGAACUUCAGAGGUGAUCAAUAAAAGAAGAAUAAAAAGACUAAUAAAAGUAUAUUUGUGUUUGUAUUUUUUUGUAGAGACCGAACUGGUCUCUUCCCGAGCUCAAGCAAUCCAUCUCCCAAAGUGAGCCACCAUGCCCAGCCCUUAAAGAGAUCUUUGGAGAUUUUUUAUGAUGUAGGAUGAAUGCUUUGCCUCAAGCAGUAAGUCCCAACACAUGACAAGGUUGGACAGUUUCCCCAUUUACUUGGGAAACACGGAAGUGAGCAGUAUAAAGUUCACACGGAGGGUCUGCUUUGGCUUUGAGCUAUCUUCCUUAAUCCUUUCUGAGCUGCCUUCUCCCGUGUCAAAAUAUUGAUCCUAAAGUGAUCCAGGCCUUGUAUAUGCAGAUGCUGCAACUCAUGAAAAUAGAUGAAACCCAUUAUUAGAGCAAGUACUAAUUCUUAGGCCAACUGGCCUGUUCCAUCACACCCCACCACAUUCUACCUUCUGGGGCGUGCUCCUACCACACCUGCUAGAGUGCCUUUUCUACCUAGCUGCCAGACUUGCACCAAGUUAGGACUCAAAUAUGGCAGGUCCUACAAAUACUCCAGAGAACCCUGAUUUACAUACCUACCUGUCAACUGAGAAACCUUGAACUCAGGCUUUAGUGUGUGAAUUAUCCCAAGCUGCUCAUCCCAGUUUUGGAUAAUCCCAAACUGUCCUAUGUGGAUAACUACCUGGACAAAGGAUUCCUGUGAAGGAAACCAAUUUGAACCUUGUUUAAAAGUUGUUCCCUUGGUCUUCAAACUCAAAUGGUCAAAUGAAUGCAGCAGUGUUGUAGAAACAUUCAUGAUCUCCAAAAACAGUCAUUAUUAAAAUCUUACAAAUCAUAUUUCCAAAAAGGUUUCACAAUUUUUAAAAAGGAGUCUCUCAUCUCCCUCACAUCAUGCAACCUGGCUUGUCCUUUGGCCUGGCUACAUCAUGGCAGGGAUCUCUGAAGACACUGUGUCCAGGGGCUGCCAGUGACAGUCCAUCAGAGCGUCAUACAGCUCCUCACUCUGUUCCAUGAACUCCUUGUUGGCCUCAGUCACAUCCAGCUGUGGCAUGGGGUCUGGAAAGCAAGCAAGGAUGGGGUCAGGGAAGUCUAGGGACAGCUGCAAGGGACCUGGUUCAGUUCCCUUCUCCCAGAACUCUGUUCUAUGGUAAGGUCCCUAUCCUGCCAGUUUCUUUCAGGAAGUGAAAGCACUGCCUUGCAGGGUUCUGGGGAAGAUGAAAAUAGAAUAAUGUAUCUAGAGAAUGGGAAAAUGGCAGCUGUUAGCCUGCAUCUAUUAAAAGCUACACCUGUGUCUCUAGCCAUCAUGUAUCCUAGAUUUUCUGGUCUGGUCCUCACUUCAAAUUUGGGUUUAGAAGGUCUGAUCAAAGUUAUUAAGUCCAGAGCAUCAUCUCAAGAACUGACAAUAAGUGCAUAGUGGAAGAACUUCAGUCAAAUAUAGGAGCUGAAAGGCCAAGUCCUGUAUGUAUGUAUGUGUGUGUGUAUGUACUUUAGAGAAAGGGUCUUGCUCUGUCACACAGGCUAGAGUACAGUGGCACACUUACAGCUCACAGCAGCCUUGAACUCUUAGGUUAAAGUGAUCCUCCCGCCUUAGCCUCCCAAAGUACUGAGAUUACAGGCAUGAGUCCCUGUCCCUGGUGGUAAAAUACUAUUAAAAAUUUUUUCUGCACAGUGGCUCAUGCCCAUAAUCCCAGCACUUCAGCAGGUCGAGGCGGGCAGAUCACCAGAAGUCGGGAGUUCAAGACCAGCCUGACCAACAUGGAGAAAUCCCAUCUCUACUAAAAAUACAAAAUGAGCCGGGCAUGGUGGCACAUGCCUAUAAUCCCAACUACUCGGGAGGCUGAGGCAGGAGAAUUGCUUGAACCCAGGAGGUGGAGGUUGCGGUGAGCCGAGAUGGCACCACUGCAUUCCAGCCUGGGCAACAAGAGCAAAACCCCGUCUCGGCCGGGCGCGGUGGCUCACGCCUGUAAUCCCAGCACUUUGGGAGGCCAAGGCAGGCAGAUCACAAGGUCAAGAGAUCGAGACCAUCCUGGCCAACAUGGUGAAACCCCGUCUCCACUAAAAAUAGAAAAAUUAGCUGGGCGUGGUGGCAGGCACCUGUAGUCCCAGCUACUCGGGAGGCUGAGGCAGGAGAAUCGCUUGAACCCGGGAGGCGGAGGUUGCAGUGAGCCGAGAUCACGCCAUUGCACUCCAGCCUGGGCAACAGAGCAAGAUGCCAUCUCAAAAAAAAAAAAAAAAUUAGCUGGGCAUGGUGACCUGUGUCUGUAGUGCCAGCUACUAGGGAGGCUGAGGCAGGAGGAUCACUUGAGCCUAGGAGGUCGAGGCUGCAGUGAGGCAUGUUCACAUCACUGAUCUCAAGUCUGGGCAACAAAGUGAGACUCUGUCUCAAAAAAAAAAAAAAACUGGGCACUGUGGCUCAUGCCUGUAAACCCAGCACUUUGGGAGGCCGAGGUGGGCAGAUCACAAGGUCAAGGGAUUGAGACCAUCCUGGGCAACAUGGUGAAACCCUGUCUCUACUCAAAUACAAAAAAUUAGCCGGGUAUGGCAGUGCACGCCUGUAGUCCCAGCUACUCGGGAGGCUGAGGCAGGAGAAUCACCUGAACCCGGGAGGCAGAGGUUGCAGUGAACAGAGAUGGCACCACUGCACUCCAGCCUGGCGACAGAGCAAAG
rnacentral:lncRNA from 1 species